rnacentral:rRNA from 1 species
GACGAACGCUGGCGGCGUGCCUAAUACAUGCAAGUCGAGCGAAGUUUUUCUGGUGCUUGCACUAGAAAAACUUAGCGGCGAACGGGUGAGUAACACGUAAAGAACCUGCCUCAUAGACUGGGACAACUAUUGGAAACGAUAGCUAAUACCGGAUAACAGUAUUUCUCGCAUGAGAGAUAUUUAAAAGUUGGUUAUGCUAACACUAUGAGAUGGCUUUGCGGUGCAUUAGCUAGUUGGUGGGGUAAAGGCCCACCAAGGCGACGAUGCAUAGCCGACCUGAGAGGGUGAACGGCCACAAUGGGACUGAGGAACGGCCCAGGAUCCUGAGGGAGGCAACAGGAGGGAAUCUUCCGGAAUGGGCCAAAGCCUGACCGAGGAACGCCGCGGGAGUGAAGAAGGAAUUCGGUUCGUAAAGCUCUGUUGUUAGGGAAGAAUGGAUAUGUAGUAACUUUACAUGUAAGAGACGGUACCUAACCAGAAAGCCACGGCUAACUACGUG